rnacentral:tRNA from 1 species
GGAGAGGUGGCUGAGCGGUUGAAAGCGCACGAUUCGAAAUCGUGUUUAGGUUAGCGCCUAACGAGGGUUCGAAUCCCUCCCUCUCC